GAGACACAUCUCCCAUCACAAGUCAGCGUGCAAGUCCUACACGUCACGAUUCCAUCUUGACCUUGCUUUCACAUUUUGAUUCGUGUGACAUCAGGAUGCUUCCUACAAGUGGUGACAUCUUAGACCUGCUAAAACGUGGCCUAUGAUGACAUCAAAGUCAUGAUGAGAGCAAAGUCCUCAUUUACAAGGAAUAAACACAGGAGGCCAUGAGGAGAUGUAUGCUGGCAGGUUGCAGUAAUGAUUUCUGUUGGCACGAAGAGAAAACUUUAUGCAGCUAUAAAUCUUUGGAAACUUG